GAUGAACGCUGGCGGCGUGCCUAAUACAUGCAAGUCGAGCGAACAGACGAGGAGCUUGCUCCUCUGACGUUAGCGGCGGACGGGUGAGUAACACGUGGAUAACCUACCUAUAAGACUGGGAUAACUUCGGGAAACCGGAGCUAAUACCGGAUAAUAUAUUGAACCGCAUGGUUCAAUGGUGAAAGACGGUUUUGCUGUCACUUAUAGAUGGAUCCGCGCCGCAUUAGCUAGUUGGUAAGGUAACGGCUUACCAAGGCAACGAUGCGUAGCCGACCUGAGAGGGUGAUCGGCCACACUGGAACUGAGACACGGUCCAGACUCCUACGGGAGGCAGCAGUAGGGAAUCUUCCGCAAUGGGCGAAAGCCUGACGGAGCAACGCCGCGUGAGUGAUGAAGGUCUUCGGAUCGUAAAACUCUGUUACUAGGGAAGAACAAAUGUGUAAGUAACUAUGCACGUCUUGACGGUACCUAAUCAGAAAGCCACGGCUAACUACGUG
rnacentral:rRNA from 1 species